GUUAUCAUAGCUUACCCUUAAAGCAUAGCACUGAAAAUGCUAAGACGGUUUAAACCUGAUUUAACA
rnacentral:tRNA from 4 species